GAUGAACGCUAGCUACAGGCUUAACACAUGCAAGUCGAGGGACCGGCGCACGGGUGAGUAACACGUACCCAACCUUCCCUUUACCCGCGGAUAGCCUUUCGAAAGAAAGAAUAAUACUCGUUAUAAAGGAUGGGGAUGCGUUCCAUUAGGUUGUUGGUGAGGUAACGUCUCACCAAGCCUUCGAUGGAUAGGGGUGCUGAGAGGAAGGUCCACCACGGUGGAACUGAGAGACGAUCCAAACUCCUACGGGAGUAAGAAGUGAGGAAUAUUGGUCAAUGGGAGCUAGACUGAACCAUGCAAGUAGAGUGAAGGAUGGAGGCUUAUGGGUAAUAAACUUGUUUUAGAUGAAAAAAUGUUUUAUAUGCAUAAGGAUCGGCUAAAUCCGGGCCAACCGCCGCGGUAAUUC
rnacentral:rRNA from 1 species